GGGAGAUAGUGACAAUAAAUAACAAUGUAGGGCUCUUAUGGGUCUUAUAAUUGGAAUGAGUACAAUUUAAAUCCCUUAACGAGGAUCAAUUGGAGGGCAAGUCUGGUGCCAGCAGCCGCGGUAAUUCCAGCUCCAAUAGCGUAUACUAAAAUUGUUGCCGUUAAAAAGCUCGUAGUCGAACUUCGGCCUUUGCCGCCCGGUCCGCCUUUUUGGUGUGUACUGGAGCGGUGGAGGCCUACUUCGUGGUGAACGGCCAUGCUCUUUACUGGGUGUGGUCGGGAACCAUGACUUUUACCUUGAAAAAAUUAGAGUGUUCAAAGCAGGCUUACGCCCGAAUACAUUAGCAUGGAAUAAUAAAAUAAGACGUGCGUUCUUAUUUUGUUGGUUUCUAGGAUCGCCGUAAUGAUUAAUAGGGAUAGUUGGGGGCAUUCGUAUUCAAUCGCUAGAGGUGAAAUUCUUGGAUUGAUUGAAGACGAACUACUGCGAAAGCAUUUGCCAAGGAUGUUUUCAUUGAUCAAGAACGAAGGUUAGGGGAUCGAAAACGAUCAGAUACCGUUGUAGUCUUAACAGUAAACGAUGCCGACUAGGGAUCGGACGAGGAUUUUUAAUGACUCGUUCGGCACCUGAAGAGAAAUCUUUAAGUCUAGGUUCGGGGGGGAGUAUGGUCGCAAGGCUGAAACUUAAAGGAAUUGACGGAAGGGCACCNCCAUGGUGUGGAGCCUGCGGCUUAAUUUGACUCAACACGGGGAAACUCACCAGGUCCAGACACGACAAGGAUUGACAGAUUGAUAGCUCUUUCUUGAUUUCGUGGUUGGUGGUGCAUGGCCGUUCUUAGUUGGUGGAGUGAUUUGUCUGGUUAAUUCCGAUAACGAACGAGACCUUAACCUGCUAAAUAGCCCGGCCGACUUUGGUUGGUCGCUGGCUUCUUAGAG
rnacentral:rRNA from 1 species